UCUCACUUGGUGGAAUUGGUAGACACGACAGACUCAAAAUCUGUUGCAAUGAUUAUUGCGUGUAGGUUCAAGUCCUACAGUGAGCA
rnacentral:tRNA from 1 species